CCGCCCGCCGCGCCAUCGCUUCGCGCGCCUCACAGAGUCCGCGUCUCUCGCCCGGCGCCCGCCGCCCGCAGCGCCAUCUUUCUGCCGCCCCGCCUGAUCUUUCACCUCUCACCCCGCCACAUGCGCGGCGCUCGUUGGCCGCCCGGCGGGAUGACGUCACUUCCGCCCACGGCGAACGAAUGACGUGGCCCUAAGGGAAGAGGCGGGGCGCGGAGGGGAGGGGCAUGGUGCGGUCACGCCCCGUGGCGGCCGAGUGGGGCGUGGCGGGGUAGGUGCGCGUAGGCUGUGGUGGGCGUGAGCCUGCUGCCCGCGAGACGUGCGGAGCGGCUCGUUCUACGCCUUCGUUCUCGCGCAGGCAGUGCCCGCUACUCAGGCUGCCCUGAGUAGGAGGACAGCCAUGUUCGGGGCCAGAGGGACAGCCUGCUUCUAGUGUAGCCCGGGGGCUCCAUCUUUGUGAGGUACCGGAGAGGUUUUCCAUGUCAGCUUGUAGCAGCGCAUAGGCACAAGGACCUGCAGAUUAUCUUCACACUGCUGCAGAAUCUUUUUGGAAGACAUCCAACUUUCUCCUCGGCUUUCUGCUGGUGCUGCACACUGCCCUCCCCUGACGUCUGUACCUUUGGCCAUCAGCACUCCUCUGGUUCUCAGAAGGUCACAGGUGCAGUUCCAAGGGUUUCCGUCUAAAUAGAGAUGCCGGAGACGAGAUCCAAUCUGGCAAGGGUAUCUGGAAGUCUGAAUAAAAAUGAAACAACACAAAUCUGUUAUAUUCAUUUUACUGAUUCUGUUUGUACCCAGGCAUAUCUGGCAUAUUAAGUAAGACUAUAACUAACAAAAAUGUAAUCUUCUGGAAAAAAAAAAAAAAUCUGGUCCUGAAAUGAUCGUGUCCUUUUUUUUUUAAAAUUGAAGUUGUUGGAAUACUGUCUAUGCACAGUUGAGUGGUUUUCCCAAAUUAUUGCAGUUCUGACCUAUACUAACCUGCUUCACUAUGUAGUAAGUUGCAUAUUCAGCUGAGUACCAAGUGAGCUUAAAAAUGUUUUUUUGUGCUACAUAAUGCCGUAAGCAUGUCAAUGAUCAAAUGAUAGCAGCAUGAAAGAUCAAAAGUUUUGAAAAACAUGGCAACUCUACUGUACUCUCUCAAGUACUUCUGUGUAUGAUUUGUUUUAAAAAGUCUUUUAGAUCAUAACUAAAUUUUUACUAGAAGUAGAAUUUUUCUUCUUUUUUUCCCUAUUUUUUGUUCUCUUGCUGCCAGCAGGUUCAAAAGUUAAUCAACUUGGAAGUAAUUCAUCUGAUGAUAUACUUAAUACUUCUUAAAAAAAUCUGCAACAAGGAAAAUAUAAAUGCCUUUUAUGGUCUUUUGAAAUAGUACCUCAGAGAAUUAGAACUGAUUGUAUUUAGAAGAAUUAAAAAAGCCAACGAUCUCAAGAUAUGAUACUAGAUGAUGAAUAUCAUUCUUGUUUUAAUGUCUUAUAAUUUGUGUGAUAAGACUUCUAUUUCUGAAGUCUAGCUUGUUUGUAAUCUCUUUUUCUCCUGCUCUAGCCAAUGAAAACUGUUUAAUAGAAAAGCCAGUUAAUUUGUGUGAAAUGUUUUUAAUAGAGUAAAUUUGAAAUUAACCUAAAAUCAUUUUACUCUUUUAGUUUGCAAGGUGAUGAGAUUAAGAUCAUGGUUAGAGAUUUUAAGGAGACUUGUUCAGGAAAACUCUCAGACAAACUAUAAAUAAUAAUACCAAGAACUAUUUAGAAUUGAGCAGCAAUGUCCCACAGCCCAUAAAGGCUGAUCUGGCUGUAUCUCAAUGAACUAAUUUGAUAUAUGUCUGAGAAUUAGUAACAGGGUACACUUUGAUCCUCACUGGCUGUCUUUUUUGAAGCUGAAUUUGACAUCUUGGGCUGAAAGGCAGUUGCUGUUUUUACAUAGACUCUGCAACUUCAGUGGGAAUAUUUCAAGAAUAAGGGAGUUCUCUAUUGUGCUUUAUUCCCUGGGUGAGAUGAGGAUUUUAUGUGUUGAAGUGGUGAGUCAUUCCACUGGUCUUACCAGUGCUUGUGGCUGCGAUGUGUUGAUUUUGAAACCUAACUGCAGUUGAUGAUAAUAGUUGUCCAAUAUGACACUGUAAUGAGAAAGGUGUUCUCUAGGGUAAAAAGUGUGCUCUAAGGUAAAAUCCUGGAGCAAAUGAUGUCAAAGGCAAUAGGAUAUCACUUGGGAUAUUUAUCCAGAUUACAGUCUAAAGCCUGUACAGUCUCACUGUACUGAUGUUGGACUUUGCAGCUGUAUUGUUUGACUUCAAGUUCUGUUGAUCUUGAGGAAUUAACUGUGUUUGAGUAUGUGGUGUGUGAUCCUGCUGCUGGCAGAGAAGCCAUGUACAUUUAGGAGCUGACCGUGACAACCAUACUGCUGCUGUUCCAGAGACUGUCAUCAGUCUUUUCCUGCAUUCUGACCACUCACUCCCCGCAAGAUUUUCUGGAGUUUGGGCUUUUCUCUAUGAGACCUGAAAUAACUUGGACUUGUGUUCUGCUAGAGAAAAUUUCAUGUCAUUAUUUACCUUUUGAAUAAAAAGGAAAGAACCUUUCUUUUUCCUGAUUCCCGCUGAACAAGUGCUAAGUCCCAUUAAUGGUGCCACAUUAACUAUAUUCUUUAACCUGUGAUACUGGUGACUGGUAGUUCUGUCAGUAGUAAUACUUUUGUUUCUUUGUGUCCAUGCGACUAGCUGGUGAUCAACAGGUAGUUGUAUGGACACACACAAAUAGAUUAGGUACAUGGGUGCACAAGAAUUAAGUACAAAGAUUUUACUUCUCCUCGUUUCUUUCCUACUUUGUGUUUACAACCUCUCCUUGAAAUUUGUGUUGAGCUGAAAAUAAAAGACCCAAUCUCUCCCUAAAAGCUGUACUUCUUAGAGGCUAAUAGAGAACUCUUUCCUGUUAAUUCCCUUGACUACGAGGGUUGUAAAAUAAGAUGGAUUGGACAAUCCUAACGUAACUAGAAAGCAUUAAGCAUUCCUGUCAAGCCAAACUGAAAUCAAAUAUUUAUACACCACUAAAUCACUUUCUGAUUGUAAGGCUUCAACCAAAUAGAUUCAAAUGCUAAAGGAUCUCAUGGUAAACGAAUUGAAAUUUUGUUGCAUUAUUUAUUUGGGCAGUUAAAACUGACCACAAGCCAUGAAAACAGAGCUUAAUAGUGUAGUUGUGUUAGAGAAGUUGAUGUUAAGAGAAUGACAUAUUUAUUUUUAUGCCAUCUAAUUGCACAGCUUUUUGAAAUAACAAAAUUGCCAUUUUAUAUCAGGCCAGACCACCUCUGAUAAUGGCCAGGACCAACACUGUGAGCAAGGCAUUAAGGAAUAGCGUGUGCCCAGUGACUGUUUCUUCUGUGCUGCUUUGGCUGGAAUUUUGCUUAUAGCCUGAAGCAGGAGACUUUAUAAGCAAUCUGAGAACUUUAUAAUGUGUGAAUUUAAUGAAGUUAGGAAUGAUAAUAUCCACUGAAGAACAUACUCUUUUAGACCAGACUCAGCUCCUGAAAUCCUAAUAUUUUAACAGUAAUAAACUAUGUGAUUCGGUGGAAACUUCAGUUUAAAACAUGCUAUCUUUCUUUUUUAUUGAAUGCUUUAUUAAUUUUGUGUAAUUGGAGAAGAUAAAUCUAAGCAGCAGGAUACCUUCUCUAUAAUCACUGUUAUACUCUCCUAGCAGAUUCCUCUUAUUAAUGUGUUAAUUAAAUAAAGCAGCCUUACUGGCAGAGAAAUAUGAAAGGAGAAGGAUCACCAGGGAUGACAGAUAUAAUGAAAACAGCUAAUGAGUGCUAAUUAGUUCCAGUUAUGGCAGAUGGUUUAUGGUAUGGAUAGACUUCCACUAUGACUAGGUCUGAAUGCAAUUUUAUUUUUUUCAC